AAACAACUCUCGGCAACGGAUAUCUCGGCUCUCGCAUCGAUGAAGAACGUAGCAAACUGCGAUACUUGGUGUGAAUUGCAGAAUCCCGUGAACCAUCGAGUCUUUGAACGCAAGUUGCGCCCGAAGCCAUUAGGCCGAGGGCACGUCUGCCUGGGCGUCACGCAUCGCGUCGAUCCCCCUACACGCCUUCUCAGGCGGUGAGUGGGGGACGGAUAUUGGCCUCCCGUGCUAGCGCGCGGUUGGCCUAAAUGAGAGUCCCACCCCACGGGCGUCGCGACAAGUGGUGGUUGAAUGCCUCAACUCGCAUAUCUGUCGUGUCGGAACCCGUCGCUCGUGCGGACAGCCGUGACCCUGAACGCCAGCAUCUCUUUGACGCUCGGCCACGACCGCGACCCCAGGUCAGGCGGAUUACCCGCUGAGUUUAAGCAUAUCAAUAAGCGGAGGAAAAGAAACUAACAAGGAUUCCCCUAGUAACGGCGAGCGAACCGGGAACA
rnacentral:rRNA from 1 species